CUCUUCCCUUUCUUGAUAGACCUUUUUCUCUUCUGCACUCUCAACCCAGCCCCAACCCUUCGUCCGACACCACUGCCAUCAUCAUUGGCGACCACCGUCGCCUACCCCCUCUCUCUUCCCUCUCUUUUUUUUUUCCCUCUUUCUCCAUUUCUCCUCAAUCCCCUGUACAUUACCCCUGGUCUCUGUGCAAAGUCCAACCCCGCGCGAGAAACCCCAGUGCAACCUAGCAGCGGCUGAGCUUUGUGCCGCUGCAACACUGCCUCUGCUACCCCUCUCUUUCUAUUCUUCCCCUUUCACCAACGCAGGUCAUAGAAUGUACAGACAUUACUGGAAGUGAUGACACAGAUCUUGUUGAUGAGUUACCGGAUCAUAGUUGCCUUGCCGAAGACGAAAUACCAAGAGUUAGGAUGCAGUUUGAGCAUUUGAAGCUGGCUUAGGAUGUUUAUAUAUGCAAGAUAUGCAAAAAAAGUCGGUUUCGAUUCAAUAGCGUAGCGAAUGGUUAUUUGGUACCCAGAUGGUUAUUUUGUAAUAGCCUUGGUGUGGUGUGUAUAAUUAGUUACAAUUAUGUUAAACUAGAUAUUCGAUUUAAUAGGAUAGCGGAUGUUUAUUUCUAUUGUUACCCAGAUGGUUAUUUUGAAUAGUCUGGGUGUAGUGUGUGUGAUUCGUUAAAAGUAUUAUAAACUGGAUGUUCGAUUUAAUAGGAGAGCGAAUGGUUAUUUCUUUUGUUACCCAGAUGGUUAUUUCGAAUA